GAAGACAUAGCUCAGCUGGGAGAGCGCUUGCUUGACAGGCAAGAGGUCGUGGGUUCGAGCCCCGCUGUCUUCA
rnacentral:tRNA from 1 species